rnacentral:lncRNA from 1 species
AAACACCUCAGCUUUGUGAAAGAUGGCAGGUUAGAGUCACAGUGCAAAAGGCCACUGGAUCAAAUACCAAAGCACUGUGACUAACAGGUGACUUUAUGAUGAAUCACAAUGUUUGUAGUUCAGGAGGAUGUCACAGUCAAAUCUCAUGCUUAGUGGAUUCAUCACCAUGUGUGGGGGCAGAAACUACUUCCACUCUUACCUUCCAUACUGCAUAACUGCCAGAUAGACAACUUCUGCCUCACACUUAAGGCCCCAAAGGAACAAGAAUAAAAGCAAUACUUAGAUUAUCAGGAACUACAAUGCCAAUGAAGGAAUGACAACCAUCAUUGUUGUCAACAACAUGUCAACAACAUCAACAAAUAGAAAGCAUUCCUCCAUUCAUCACUCCUUCUGGGAACAAAAGAAGCCAGAGUCUUUAGAGUACACACUCCGUACUUCCAUUAAAUAAAUUUCAACAACAGGUAAAAAGUACUAUGUCUGAUAAAAGUAGUGCAAAUAGUAGCUCCCUUUAAAAGGGAAGAUAAUGGGUAGAAAUUGAAAGAGGGCAUGAGGGGCUUCCAAGGUGCUAGUAAUGUUUAUUUUCUGAUCAUUUUGGUGGUCACAUGGGUAUGUUCACUUUACUUUUUGUGUACUUCAAUUAAAAAUUCAUUUUAAAAAAUAUGUAUGACUUUGGAAUCAGAAAAUCUUAGGUUGAAAUAUCAGGUCUGGCACUACCUAGCUUCAAUUUUAGCAUACAUGCUGCCAGCACCUUCCUUGCUUCAUUAUAUUGGACAAGUAACUUAGGCUUUCUGAAUCUCAGAUCUCUCAUCUAUGAAUAGGCAUAGUAAUUAUGCCUACUUCAUAGGAAUAUUAUGCACAUUAACUUAAAUAACGUGCCAGUAACUUAAUAAAUGGUAGUCAUAGUAGCUGGAAAUGGUAGAAGUCUUUCUGGGGGAAAGAGUGGAAUGAGAAAAGUUAUGAAAACCAUAGAACAAGGAGGCACUGACGAGACCCUCUGCUCAGUUCAAAGUUCCUCCAAUGGGGCUGGAUGUUGAAUUCAUGCCCAUUUGAGGUGGCAGCAGUAAUCCUUUUGUAAUCACUUUAUACCCCCAACUUACACAGUCAACAUUUCUUGAAGCAAUAAAUUUUCAUCCUCUAAGUUGCUUCAGGAAGUUUAACUUGGCAAAGUUCACCUACAGUUGUAUUAGGCUCUCAAUCUUUCUUCUCUGGGCUCAUAUAUUAGAGGUCCGUGUUCUCACUGUUGUUUUUUGUUUUUUGUUUUUUGUUUUUUCCAGGUCAAAGCAUGUAUCUUGCAACCUUCUUUGAAUAAGGCUCAGUGCAAAGCUGGGGCCAGUGACCUUGACCUUCCUUCAUCCCUAUCUAUCAAGGAUUUUUUGUGAGCAUAAGAGGCAGCAACUUUACUUGUAUUUCAUUUCAUAGCUUAAUUAUAUCUACAUGCAAUUAGAAAACAUAUGGUAAGGCAUAUUUGUGAAGGUCACAAAAUCUAGUAGAGCUGGAAUGCCAGGAUUUGAUUCCAACUUCUGCCACUUACUAACUGCGGAACCUUAGGCAAGUCACUGAACCCCUAAGUUUCCUCAGCUGUAAAACAAUAAUAAACAGAGUCUACAGGUCACAGAUUUCUAUGAGAAUUAAAUUAGUUAACAAAAUAAAGCACUAAGAACUGUGCCUGGUACAUAAAAUAUACUGCAUGAGGGUUAGCUAUCACCACAAUAAGUAGGCAAGUUACCAACACCUUAAACGCUGAGUUAGAACAAAUCUAAAAACUCUAUGCUGGCCAGGCGCGAUGGCUCACACCUGUAAUCCCAGCACUUUGGGAGGCCAAGGUGGGCAGAUCACCUGAGGUCAGGAGUUCUAGACCAGCCUGGCCAACAUGGUGCAACCCCAUCUCUACUAAAAAUACAAAAAUUAGCAGGGUGUGGUGGUGGGCGCCCGUAAUCCCAGUUACUCAGGAGGCAGAGGCAGGAGAAUCGCUUGAGCCCACAAGGCAGAGGUUGCAGUGAGCUGAGAUCACACUACGGCACUCCAGCCUAGGCAACAGACAGAGCAAAACUCCAUCUCAAAAAUAAAUUAACAAACAAACAAAAACUGUAUAUUUAAGACCUACCUUUACUUAUUGAAGGAGGCCACUUCAAAAUGGUAAUGCUCCUUUCCUGUCUAGGUUCCCCAUACUUAGGGUACCCCAGACCCACCAAACCACACAGUGCCAGGCCUCUUUGUCUCCUAUAAUCUAUUCCUCCUUAAAAACCCAGCUAGAGAUUUUCUCUUCUACCCUACCAAGUAAAGAAUGUGCCCGCUUUCCUUUGCAUGCCUAUCUCUUAGAAUAUUAAUCCCAUAAAUUAUAAUUUCCCCAAAGAGACACUGAUCUUCAAGGGUAUGACUGUGUUUUUCUUAUUACUUAAUACCUAGAACUGUAUUUUGCACAUAUUAGAAACUUGACAAAAUUAAGAAACCCAAAGGACAUUCAAAUUCUUUCUCCCAAUUUAAAAAUUAUGGGUACAGGGACAAGAGUGGAGUUGGAAAACGUCAGUCACCCUAAUAAACAAGGCACAUUUAAUAAACAGGAUACGCAUCUCUAUUUUCUUCCCCAUCCCCAGAUAAUUGUUUUUGAGUGAUGAACCAAAAAAAAAAAAACCUAAUAAAUGCACAAGUUUAUAAUUUGAGAAACUAGCGUGACAAAAAUGAGGUCAUCCCAUGGAUGUCAUAAAAUAAGCAUGACUUUCUUCUCUCAAUUCUUUUACUUAUUGCCCAUAUAAUUAAAUACAGUUGUAAUUUAAUUCUGUUGGCUGUUAUUUCAUGCUCACAACAAAACAUUUCUCUCUCUCUCUUCCUUAAGUUUGUGUAGAUGAUUUUAUUCCCAUGAGCAUCAAAGAGCAGGGUUUAACAAUGAAAUGUUGAAAACAAUCAAAACUUACAAAGAAGUUUAUCUGACACACUCAAUGACAGGCAUAAUUAUCAUUGUGUUGCAUGGUAAUUAGGUAUAAAAGGCAAACAGUUCCUUUAAAUGUCUCUAAUUAGUACUGCUCUUAAAUCUUCAAACCAAGUAGUUGAGGAGUCAGCGGCAGGGAAACCUGCUCCUAUAACACAAUGCUCCUCAAUGGUGGCUUCAUAUGAGAAUCAGCAGGGGAGCUUUUAAUAUACAUAUAUAUAUAUACGCACCUAUAAUCCAUAUGCCCAGGGCUCUUGCCUCAAAUCAAUUUAGUUAGAAUACCUGGGGGUUAGACCCAGGCAUCAGUACUUCUUAUUACAGGUGAUUACAAUGUAAACUUAAGAUUAAGGAUUACAGCUGUAAACAACAACAUGGAAGAGAGUUGAAGUUGUCCCUUCCCUCUAUAUUUCCACAGCACUAGGAACAUGCUCUACUGAAGGCUCAUCAAUUAAUCAAUCAAUUAGGUAAUUAACAAGUAUUGAUUAACAAUGAUCAAUUAAUGUUUGUUACAAGAAUUUGACAUAGCUUGUUCUCUUCUGCAAUAUAAUACACAAGUGAGAAAAUCCCUACUCUCCUCUCCCUCCUCCCAGCAUUCUGUCUGGAACCUGAAACGUGGCCUGGCACCUAGAAACAUGCUGUCAAGUUAGCCUCAGUGUGUGAACUUUUUUUUAAUUUUAAUAAAAUAUACAUAACAUAAAAUGUAUCAUUUUAACCAUUUAUAAGUGAACAGUUUAGUAGCAAUAAGUAUAUUCUCAUUGUUUUACAACCAUCACCACCAUCUAUCUCCAGAAUCUUCCCAAACUGGAACUCUGUACCUAUUAUAUAUUCCCUGGGUCUCCUCACCCCUCCUGCUCCUGGCAAUCUCCAUUCUAAUUUCUGUCUCGAUGAAUUUGACGAUUCGAGGUACCUCAUAUAAAUGGAAUCCUGCAUUUGUCUUUUUAAGUCUGGCUAAUGUCUGCAAGCUUCAUUCCUGCUGUAGUAUGUGUCAGAGUUCCUCUGUAAGGCUGAAUAAUAUCCCAUUGCAUGUAUAUACUACAUUUUGUUUCUCCAUUCAUCUGUUGACGGACACGGGGUUGUUUCUGCUUUUUGGCUACUAUGAAUAACACUGCUAUAAGCAUGGAUGUACAAGAUUUUUUAUGCAUGGCUUUACCUACCCGGCAUAGCCAAUAUUCCUAAACAGGAAUCUCACACCAGAGAAGCAAAAGGCUUGGUGAAUGAGGAGUGAGGACCUGUGACUUGCUCCUCAUCAACAAAACACAGCAAUGAUGACGGAAGGCCAUUCCUGGGUAGGUUAUAUAAGACUUCAUCUUAGUUAACUGUAAAGGGCUUAUCCAGCUGAGUCUGAAGAAGUAAGCUGCCAUGCUAUGAGAGGGCCUGUGAGAGGGACGCAAGGCAGGAACUCUAGGCAGCCUCUAGGAGCUGAGAGCAGCCCCAGCUGACAGCUAGCAAGAAAAUGGGGACCUCAGCCCUACAACCACAAGGAAUUGAAUUUGGCCAACAAUCACGUAAGCUGGGAAGAGGACCUCUUCCUGUAGAAAGCUCUAGAAAUGAACACGGCCAGUUGACCCUUUGACUGCAGCCUUGUGGCUGACGUCAGAGAAGAUGACUUAAAUAAGUCACACCUGGACUCUUGG